rnacentral:rRNA from 1 species
AUUGAACGCUGGCGGCAGGCCUAACACAUGCAAGUCGAGCGAGCGGCGGACGGGUGAGUAAUGUCUGGGAAACUGCCUGAUCGAGGGGGAUAACUACUGGAAACGGUAGCGAAUACCUCAUACCAUCAGAUGUGCCCAGAGGGGCUUAGCUUGUAGGGGGGGUAACGGCUCACCGAGGCGACGAUCCCUAGCUGGUCUGAGAGGCUGAGCAGCCACACUGGAACUGAGACACGGUCCAGACUCCUCCGGGAGGCAGCAGUGGGGAAUAUUGCACAAUGGGCGCAAGCCUGAUGAGGCCAUGCCGCGUGUAUGAAGAAGGCCUUCGAGUUGUAAAGUACUUUCAGCGGGGAGGCGUUACCCGCAGAAGAAGCACCGGCUAACUCCGUGCCAGCGGCCGCGGUAAUAC